rnacentral:rRNA from 1 species
AUGGAGCCCCGACGCCUCCGCCAUGAACCCAUCCAUCCCUCUUGUGCGCGCUUCCCUGCAACUCCAGACGCCGCCUGCAGCUCUUUGCAUCGAGCAGCAGCAGUUCGGGCAGAGGACGACGCCUCUGCCUCGACCGCUCGCCCCCUCUGCUUCGCGCUGGACUGCCAAGCCCCUCCCGUCCUCAUCCCCGUGCAGCUGCGCGCUCUCGCCUGCCCCCACGGCGAGCUCCGCCUCCUGCGUGCGGUCGCCGUCUCCGUCAACCUCCACCACCUACUGCAAGUUGGUGCCCAGGGCGUCGCAAGCUGCCAGCGGCGGCAGAGUUGCUGCUCCCGUGUCGUGAUUGGACUCCGUGUUCUUCUCCAACAGCAAAUACGUGUUCUUCUCCAACACCAAUCAAUGGAUUUCCCGAGCCGGAUUUGA